rnacentral:rRNA from 1 species
CCUACGGGUGGCUGCAGUGGGGAAUAUUGGACAAUGGGCGAAAGCCUGAUCCAGCCAUGCCGCGUGUGUGAAGAAGGCCUUCGGGUUGUAAAGCACUUUCAGUGGGGAAGAAAGCCUUGGGGCUAAUACCCUCGAGGAAGGACAUCACCCACAGAAGAAGCACCGGCUAACUCCGUGCCAGCAGCCGCGGUAAUACGGAGGGUGCGAGCGUUAAUCAGAAUUACUGGGCGUAAAGCGCGCGUAGGCGGUCUGAUAAGCCGGUUGUGAAAGCCCCGGGCUCAACCUGGGAACGGCAUCCGGAACUGUCAGGCUAGAGUGCAGGAGAGGAAGGUAGAAUUCCCGGUGUAGCGGUGAAAUGCGUAGAGAUCGGGAGGAAUACCAGUGGCGAAGGCGGCCUUCUGGACUGACACUGACGCUGAGGUGCGAAAGCGUGGGUAGCAAACAGGAUUAGAUACCCCGGUAGUC